AAACCAUAAUGAGGACACUGUUUUAAUAAAUCUUUGAAUAUGUCCCAUGCUUCAAAUAGUAAUUCUCCAUCCGCUGAGCAAAAUUUGUGAUACAAUUCCACAUAUGCAU